rnacentral:rRNA from 1 species
UACGUAGGGUGCAAGCGUUACUCGGAAUUACUGGGCGUAAAGCGUGCGCAGGCGGUGAUGUAAGACAGGUGUGAAAUCCCCGGGCUUAACCUGGGAACUGCAUUUGUGACUGCAUCGCUGGAGUGCGGCAGAGGGGGAUGGAAUUCCGCGUGUAGCAGUGAAAUGCGUAGAGAUGCGGAGGAACACCGAUGGCGAAGGCAGCCCCCUGGGCUGACACUGACGCUCAGGCACGAAAGCGUGGGGAGCAAACAGG